UACGAAGGGGGCUAGCGUUGCUCGGAAUGACUGGGCGUAAAGGGCGCGUAGGCGGAUGACACAGUCAGGCGUGAAAUUCCUGGGCUCAACCUGGGGGCUGCGUUUGAUACAUGUUGUCUUGAGUUUGGAAGAGGGUCGUGGAAUUCCCAGUGUAGAGGUGAAAUUCGUAGAUAUUGGGAAGAACACCGGUGGCGAAGGCGGCGACCUGGUCCGAUACUGACGCUGAGGCGCGAAAGCGUGGGGAGCAAACAGG
rnacentral:rRNA from 1 species